AGCAAACCAACGUGUUAUUUGCAAAAAAAAAAAAAAAAAAAAGUCUGGUCAUCUAGGUGAUAGUAAUAGUAAUGCUUCGACUAAAACUCAUAACCGGCAGGGGGGGAGGUCAGUCUCCUCAACCCUGAGUUCAGCAAGUGAUGUCAGAUCAACAUGGCUGCUCACAGUAUCAACAGCAAGUAAAGUAGCUUGAUAACUUCUUACUUUUUAAUGAGUUAUACUAUAUAUACCAGUAUUUGUUUUAGAUCAAUCAACAUAUAGCCAUAUUCGCUUGUUAAAUCUAUUACACUGACUAUACAGUUUACUGUUUUGAGGAGUUAAAUAUAUCACUCAUCACAGUUAACUGUCUAGAUUGUUGCUAACAAAAGACAUACAUGAAGGCGGCCAUGUUUUUCUCCCAUUUUCUGGUUCAAAGGCAUGGAGAUCGAAAUGACAUAAUUCUGAGUUCUGACUUCCCACUUCCGAGUUAAGUCAAACAGUCUAUAAUAGUAAAUAAUAUAAUAGUAAAGGGAUUAAAAUCAAAUUUAACAAAGAAAAAAAAAAUUUUAGAUAAUGAAAGUUUCAGGAGUGUUUAUUUAACUUUUUUGGAAGGAGUCUCCAGUGUCAGCACUUGCCAGGACUUGGACUUUUGCGGUUUCUUGUGGAUUCAUCCUGAUGCUGUACUUUUGCUUGGAGCUUCUGAAUUUGUGACUCACUUUCUACUGCUGUGUAUGGUCCUACUUGAACUUUGCACUUUGCCCAAGACUUCAGUGGAUAAUCUGACUGGGAUACUGUAGACUUUUAGAAGUGCAUGGGUUCUCCCUAAAGUUGCCGCAAGGAGUUUUUCUUGCCAUUGUCACCUCUGGCAUGAUCAUUACAUCAUCUACAUCUGGAAUUAAGAUAAGAUAAACUUUAUUGAUCCCAUUCUGUACAGCUGCUUUGUGACUGCUUGUGUGUUAAAAUCACUAUACAAAUAAAAUUGAAUUGAAUUCAAACAUAUAGCUUUUGAGCAAACCCUCAUAUUUGCAUUAAAAUGAACAAAACAGACUUAAGACAGUACUAAAGGACAGUUCCUUUUAAGGUGAAUUGAAGUGACUUAUUUCAUCAUGUGCAGCAGUGUAGGACCAUGGUGUGAUUAUUGACUCCAGACAUUCAUUUGAAGCCCUUGUAGAUAAUAUUACUAGGACAGCCUUCUUUCAUCUCAGAAAUAUUGCUAAGAUAAGAAAUAUAAUGUCACUACACAAUGCAGAAAAAUUAGUUCUUAUUAUAAACAAGCUCUAGUUAGUCCAGAAUGCAGCAAUGAGAGUCCUUACUAGAACCAUUAGAUAUGACCACAUCACCCCUAUCUUAUCCACACUGAAUUGGCUCCUAAUGAAAUUUCACAUUGAUUAUAAAAUACUGCUAUUGCCCUAUAAAGCACUGAAUGGUCUUAUUCCGCAAUGCCUGAGCGAACGUUUGAGCGAUCCGUCAUGCCUACUUCAAUCAAAAGGUGCAGGCUAUUUGUUGGUACCUUGAAUAGUGAAGGCUACAGCAGGGGGCAGAUCUUUCUCUUACAAAGCCCCACAGCUAUGGAGCAGCCUUUCAAUUAGUGUUCCGGACUCCGAUACAGUCUCAGUGUUUAAGUCUAGGCUGAAAACGUAUUUGUUUAGUCAAGCCUUUUACAAAUAUUUUUUUUUCUUAGGUAAAGGAGCAGACCUGGAGGGUUCACAGGCAUAGAGUGUUGUGGUGAACUGGGAUGUUUGGAUGCUGUCGCCCCCCAACUUAUGUGUUCACUCAGGUUCGUUGAUGGUGGAGUGGCUGGCCGCUUUAUGUCCCAGUUCACCCUCAUGCCUGUGUUACCUUCUGGCUCUCCCUUUUAGUUAUGCUGUCACAGCUAGUCUUUCCGGAGUCCCUGUUUGCACUCUGCAUGCAAAGUACAUUGUCCUUAACCAUUGCGGGACAAAAAGCAUACCUAACAAUCUCUACCUCUCUCUCCAUCUCCCCCCACCCUGUCUCUCUCUCUCUCUCUCUCUCUCUCUCUCUCUCUGUUGAGCUACAAAUGCUACUACUGAGAUACCAGUGAUCCUGACCCCUUCUGCUCUCUGGACCUGCCUGAUCCAUCUUGAUGCCCUACUUCUGGUUGGAGUUCUCAUCAGUUGGAGAUCGCUCGCUGCUGCUGGGGGUGGCCCCACAUGGACGACCUGAAGAUCAUUGGGAUUGCUGGAGAUGGUGCUGCUUGGGGACAGUGGAGAUGGCUUUGGAUUGUGGUUCACAUGGGCAGCUGUACUGUGAUGGCUUUGGGGCUGCGGUUGCCAUGAGCAGUUUUGCACUCAGGUCUCCAUCAGUGGACAGUGGAUAGGUUCAACAAAAAAGACUUCAUGUGAAAACUGUAAUCAAUUUCCUGGUUACACAGUUGCACUAUUUUGUCCAUGUAGUACAAGGGAUUUACUGAUAAUGGCACUAUCCAGUUUCACCCAGAUGAGGAUGGGUUCCCUUUUGAGUCCAGUUCCUCUCAAGGUUUCUUCCUCAUAUCAUCUCAGGAAGGUUUUCCUCACCAUUGCCUCUCGCUUGCUCAUUAGGGAUAAAUUCACACAUUUACAAUUUAUACCCUGAGUAUAUUUAUUUCUGUAAAGCUUCUUUGUGGUAAUGCCCAUUGUUAAAAGCGCUAUACAAAUAAAAUUGAAUUAAACUGAACAUGCAUAUGUGUGUACCACUAGAUGUCAGUGCCGUACAUCUAUGGAAAUUUGGUCCUUCCACAUUCACAGUUCAGUACAGGCACAUGACAUGUCUUUUCUAAACUAGAGUUUUUUCCCCCAUUCUGACCGUAUAUGUAAAAUAUUAAAGAUAUAUACAUUUUUUCCUGGAUUAUAAAGAAGAAGAAACCAAGCUGGAGUUUUGUUUGUUUUAAUCUUCCUUAAAAAUCUUGUGUCAUGGUUGUAAUAUGCCUAUGGGAAUACAGGGGAAAAAAACUACAAAACUCCUCAUCCUUAAUAACUAAAUUAAAUUAAAUUAAAUUUGUAUAGUGACUUUAACAAUUAGCAUUGUCACCGAGCAGCUUUAGAGAAAUCCGGAUGUAGUUGAUGACCAAGCCAGAGAUGACAGUGGCAAGGAAAAAAAAAACCCUGAAAUGACAUGAGGAAGAAACUUUGAGAAAAACCAGACUAAAAAAGAGCCGACACCAGAAAGUGGGAUUAUAAAUCAUUACAAUAUACAGGUGUAGAAGAGUAAAGGGUAGACUAAAGACUGUGUUAAAAGGAUGUUCUCUUGUCUUUCAGAUUAUGUAUCCUUACAGAUUCCUGAAGGUUUGUAAAUUACUCUGGGUAAGAGCAUUUGAAAAAUGACUAAACGUCAAAGUAAAUGUAAUGAGUUAAGUGGAUUUUCUUUCUGUCUGUUUGGGUGGAUCAGGUAAUUGAUCUUCUCUGUCUCAUAAGCCUGACAGGUCAGAGAUGAGGUCUGAGGACACGCUGUGACUUGACCCACCUUUUUUGUGACCUCCAAUGACCCCCCCUACUGCCCCCCAGUUUCCUGUGGAAAAUGAACCUUAUAUCACCUGUGUGUGUGUGUGUGUUUUACUUUCAAAUGUAGGUGUACAAUAUCAGACCAGGCUGGGGGCUGGAGCCGGUUCACUGCCUCUGAAAAGGGAGCUCAGACCUCACACACACACACAUACACACACAGUCUCAGUUUACAUGCCUUUGAACUACACUGUAGUUAAACACUGGCAUGCCUACAACCUAAACCCUGACCUUGACCAACUCCACCAACCAACCACUAACCAAACAAACAUUCAGAUGUUUACAAGUUGUUCCUCAUUUUUCCUUCAUAACAGUUGGUUUCCACAAAGAUAGCAAAAACAGAGCAUACACAAACACACUCACACAUACAUAGCUGGCUCUUAAUACCUCUUUGUAUGGCACAUUAGAUGCCUGGCCAUACAGAUGCUCUGAACAGCCACUGACUGGUAGGGUUUAAAAAAAAAAGUCUGUGCAGUCAUGGCUUGUCGUGAUAUCCAAUGAGAGAGUUAGAAAUUCUAAAAAUGUUUGUCUUACAAUCCUUAUGAUAUGAUAUGCUUUCUACUGAUAAUUAUUGUGGGACCUUUUGGGAACCAACCAAAAACUGUCAAAUACAAAUAUUCCUACCCUUGCAGGGACAUUUGGUGCAGCUGCAUUUGUGAUAAAUGUUUUAAGUCAGUUGACCUUGUGGGCCAGUGCUGUGCACUAAAUGCCUAUGCUUGCAUUAAAAUACACAACUUGUGA